UGAUGGGUGCUCUGCAAUAGGAGUUGUGUGAACCCCGCCAGGUCCGGAAGGAAGCAACGGUAGCAUGAUUUCCUAUGUGCCGGAGUUUACCUGUCGGGC
rnacentral:SRP_RNA from 1 species